CUCCCCCGCCCUCCCGCGUGGAGUCCAGCCCUGCGGCGAGGCCCGCUACGUGUCCGACCUCCUCCCUCCCCCAGAUGCAGCCCUAGGGCCCGGAGGAGAUCCCAGAGGGGCAGACCUGGGGCGGCGACUGGGCUCGGCCGAGCUCAGGGGCGCGUGCGCGCACGCCAGGCGCUUCGGGGGUUUGCACCUGAUGCCGGCACAAAGAGGGUUCAGCCGCCGCCCACGCCAGCAGGCUCUUAAGCUGGCGAGCAGGCCAGGACACCGAGUUGGUGAGGUCCACUCCAGGACUGGCUUGGCUAGUGCUGGAGAUGGAUCCCAGGGCCUUGCACGUGUUAGGCAAGUCCUCUACCACUGAGCCACACCCCGGCCCCACUCUACUCCAGUUCUCCUAGUGUGUCAGUCAGCUUUCUGUUAUGAUAACAAACACCUGAGACGAUCAACUUAUUUUUUAAAUAGGUUUAUUUUUGCUCACCGUUUCAGAGGCUUCAACUCUCUGGGCCUGUGAUGGCACAUCAUGUGGAAACGUGUGGCAGGCAAAACCUUCUACCUCAUGGCUUAGAAUGGAAAGAAAGAAAGGAGAGGGGCUGGGGUCUCGCUGUCCCCCUUGGGGGCAUGCCCCUAGGGACCUCUUUCUAGGUCCCACCUCUUCAGGGUUCCAUUGCCUCUCAAAAGCACAUGCUGAGAGCCAUGGCAUUUUUGGUUGAAAGCCAUUGAGAUGAUAUGAUUAUGUUAAGAUCUGCAUUCAAAUGGAUAUUAGACCCCUGCUGUCCGCCUCCACCUGCUACUUUGGAGCUCUAGCGGGACUCCCGGGACUCCCGGAGAGUUCCCAUUGGUUGGGGAAGUGCGGUAGGAGGGAUUGCCGGAGGAGGGAUUUGUCUGUUGGUGUAGUGUGGCCCAGGAGAACCGCCGCGUGUGUGGUUCGGCAUAUUUCCCUGGAGAGUGCGUGGCAUUGAUGGGAGUUUCAGAAAUAAAGUUUGUUCCUGCUUGA